UACGAAGGGGGGCUAGCGUUGCUCGGAAUCACUGGGCGUAAAGGGUGCGUAGGCGGGUCGUUAAGUCAGGGGUGAAAUCCCGGAGCUCAACUCCGGAACUGCCUUUGAUACUGGCGACCUUGAGGCUGGAAGAGGUUAGUGGAAUUCCCAGUGUAGAGGUGAAAUAGUUAGAUAUUGGGAAGAACACCAGUGGCGAAAGGCGGCCUAA
rnacentral:rRNA from 1 species